AUUGAACGCUGGCGGCAGGCCUAACACAUGCAAGUCGGACGAGCGGCGGGCGGGUGAGUAAUGUAUGGGGACUGCCCGUUAGCGGGGGAUAACAACUGGAAACGGUAGCUAAUACCGCAUACUAUCGGCUAACCGAUGGGGGAUUAGCUAGUGGUGGGGGUAAUGGCUCACCUAGGCGACGAUCCCUAGCUGGUCUGAGAGGAUGAUCAGCCACACUGGGACUGAGACACGGCCCAGACUCCUACGGAGGCAGCAGUGGGGAAUAUUGCACAAUGGGCGAAAGCCUGAUCCAGCCAUGCCGCGUGUAUGAAGAAGGCCCUCGGGUUGUAAAGUACUUUCGGUAGGGAAGCGGUACCGAAAGAGGAAGCACCGGCUAACUCCGUGCCAGCAGCCGCGGUAAUUC
rnacentral:rRNA from 1 species